UGGGGAAUUUUGGACAAUGGGGGAAACCCUGAUCCAGCCAUCCCGCGUGCGCGAUGAAGGCCUUCGGGUUGUAAAGCACUUUUGGCAGGAAAGAAACGUCAUGGGUUAAUACCCCGUGAAACUGACGGUACCUGCAGAAUAAGCACCGGCUAACUACGUGCCAGCAGCCGCGGUAAUACGUAGGGUGCAAGCGUUAAUCGGAAUUACUGGGCGUAAAGCGUGCGCAGGCGGUCCGGAAAGAAAGAUGUGAAAUCCCAGAGCUCAACUUUGGAACUGCAUUUUUAACUACCGAGCUAGAGUGUGUCAGAGGGAGGUGGAAUUCCGCGUGUAGGAGUGAAAUGCGUAGAUAUGCGGAGGAACACCGAUGGCGAAGGCAGCCUCCUGGGAUAACACUGACGCUCAUGCACGAAAGCGUGGGGAGCAAACAGG
rnacentral:rRNA from 1 species